rnacentral:rRNA from 1 species
AGCGAACGCUGGCGGCAGGCCUAACACAUGCAAGUCGAACGAACCUUUCGGGGUUAGUGGCGGACGGGUGAGUAACACUUGGGAACGUGCCUUUAGGUUCGGAAUAACUCAGGGAAACUUGUGCUAAUACCGAAUGUGCCCUUCGGGGGAAAGAUUUAUCGCCUUUAGAGCGGCCCGCGUCUGAUUAGCUAGUUGGUUGAGGUAAUGGCUCACCAAGGCGACGAUCAGUAGCUGGUCUGAGAGGAUGAUCAGCCACAUUGGGACUGAGACACGGCCCAAACUCCUACGGGAGGCAGCAGUGGGGAAUCUUGCGCAAUGGGCGAAAGCCUGACGCAGCCAUGCCGCGUGAAUGAUGAAGGUCUUAGGAUUGUAAAAUUCUUUCACCGGGGACGAUAAUGACGGUACCCGGAGAAGAAGCCCCGGCUAACUUCGUG